UAAUACUGAGGGUGCAAGCGUUAAUCGGAAUUACUGGGCGUAAAGCGCGCGUAGGCGGUCUGGUCAGUCAGAUGUGAAAGCCCCGGGCUUAACCUGGGAACUGCAUUUGAAACUGCCAGGCUAGAGUGUGGUAGAGGGAAGUGGAAUUCCGCGUGGAGCGGUGAAAUGCGUAGAGAUGCGGAGGAACACCAGUGGCGAAGGCGACUUCCUGGACCAACACUGACGCUCAGGUGCGAAAGCGUGGGGAGCAAACAGGAUUAGAUACCCCGGUAGUCCACGCCGUAAACGAUGUCUACCAGCCGUUGGGGAGCUUGUCUCCAUAGUGGCGCAGCUAACGCGAUAAGUAGACCACCUGGGGAGUACGGUCGCAAGACUA
rnacentral:rRNA from 1 species